rnacentral:lncRNA from 1 species
AUCAAAGUCCAACUCCUGGCCCUGCACAGAACAGCCCCAAGAAUCCCACCAUGUGCUUGAGGCACAGAUACUUGAAGCACAGUUUGUUUAUGAGCUCACGACUUCAAACCCUCUGCUAGACCCUGAAUAAUCCAGACUACAAAAAGCAAUAAGAACACAGCCCUGUUUGCAGAAUAUUGCCUGAAUUUUUGUCACUGCCCUUUGCAGGGGUGAUGUUUUACUCUGGUGUAACACUUGUAACAGUUCAGUCGCUGUACAAUCAGUGCAUAUCCUUGGUGCAGAGACAUGGAAACACUGUGUUGUUUCCCAGUUCUGUGGUGGGGCCCAUGGGCACUGAUCUAAUUUCACUGCAUCACAACAAGGCAUCUCUAAUAUUACAGCACAACAUACAGUGGAGCUGGAGCCGGCACAGCCACCACACUGCUGAAAUUUUAAAGGAGAAAGAAUAAGAUCAGCCCUGUGGAAACCACACAUAUGGAGGAGUUUGCAGAAGGCUGUGCCACCUCUGAGUGCCAAAUUGCAGUUCCAAGUAAUCUGCUUGGCCAGUAAUGGAAUGAAGCAGGGAAUACAACCCUAUACUACCUUUACUUGAAGGACUUCAAUCUGCUAUAGAAGCAUAAAGUAAUUAAAUCUCAUAACAGCUGGAAGAGGCAGGCAAAAGACCUCUUUUAUUUAAAGGGACUCUUUCCCUGUCUUAGAACAGGAGCCACAGCAGGUGCUUAACAGCAGAUUGCAACAGUCUACAUCUGCAAAGGGAAGAGAAGGGAAAGAACUAACAUGCCCACAAAAUGUUGAAGGGAAUUUGAUCCAGACUCAUCCUUUAUU